rnacentral:rRNA from 1 species
UACGUAGGGGGCUAGCGUUAUCCGGAAUUACUGGGCGUAAAGGGUGCGUAGGUGGUUUCUUAAGUCAGAGGUGAAAGGCUACGGCUCAACCGUAGUAAGCCUUUGAAACUGGGAAACUUGAGUGCAGGAGAGGAGAAUGGAAUUCCUAGUGUAGCGGUGAAAUGCGUAGAGAUUAGGAAGAACACCAGUGGCGAAGGCGAUUCUCUGGACUGUAACUGACGCUGAGGCACGAAAGCGUGGGGAGCAAACAGGAUUAGAUACCCUGGUAGUCCCUGAG